UGAGUGUAUCAGAAUCAGACAUUUAUUUCAAGCAAGCAUGAUGCAGCUUACCUUCAUUUUCUUCUAUGUGCUGUUCUGGUUCACAGACAUUUCUCUCGGUUCAUCCAUUGAUCAACCUGCUGACAUGAUGAAGCAUCAGGGAAACACUGUGAACAUCAGCUGCACGCACACAUACAGCAGCUUUUACUACCUUUACUGGUACCAGCGAACAACGCAAGAAGAAUCCUUCAAACUUCUUGGUUACCUUUACUUGCAAAAAUUCAAUCCUGAGAAGGACUAUGAUCGCUUUCAUAUUUAUGGGAACUCACAAACCCACGGAACACUUCAGAUCUCCACUGUUACUUCAGAAGAUAGUGCAAUGUAUUUCUGUGCUGUGAGUGACACAGUUUAACAAAAUCCUGCUGUGUACAACAAAAACACCUG